rnacentral:tRNA from 1 species
UUUCUUUUGGUGAGCUAGCACGACAGAGUUUGAAUCUGUAGGAAAGGUAAGUCCUUAAAGAAAA